rnacentral:rRNA from 1 species
GCCCAGAUGAGAUGCCCUUAAACGGCCGCGAGAACCAACCGCGCAAAGGUAGCGCAAUCACUUGUCCCCCAAAUAGGGACCCGUAUGAAAGGUUACAUGAGAAAGAAACUGUCUCCUUAGGUUGGUCGAUGAAACUGAUCCAUCAGUACAAAAGCUGAUAUAAAAAAAUAGGACGAAAAGACCCUGUGAAACUUCAAACCUAAUCAAACCACCACCCUUGACCAAGGUCUUAAGUUGGGGCAACUAUGGAGAAACUAAACCUCCACCACACUGCCAAGUCCAACAAGACAAAGCAAACUAACUAAUAAUCGACCCAGUACAACUGACCAAAGAACCAAGCUACUCCAGGGAUAACAGCGCCAUACUCUUCAAGAGUCCAUAUCAACAAGAGUACCUACGACCUCGAUGUUGGAUCAGG